UACGGGGGGGGGCAAGCGUUGUUCGGAAUUACUGGGCGUAAAGGGCUCGUAGGCGGCCCUCUCAGUCGGAUGUGAAAUCCCCAGGCUUAACCUGGGAACGGCAUCCGAUACUGGAGGGCUUGAAUUCGGGAGAGGGAUGCAGAAUUCCAGGUGUAGCGGUGAAAUGCGUAGAUAUCUGGAGGAAUACCGGUGGCGAAGGCGGCAUCCUGGACCGAGAUUGACGCUGAGGAGCGAAAGCUAGGGGAGCAAACAGG
rnacentral:rRNA from 1 species